UAGAGUUAUGGGGGCCACUCUGAUCUCCGUACAGCACUGCUCCUGCUCCCGCUGCUCCCUGCUCCUCUGUCCCUGUGAAUCUGGCAGCAGCUACAACCUCUUGAGCAGAUGAUGGGUAGUAGAUACAGAGAUGGAGAUUAUGGCUAACAACUACAAUAAAAGUGUCUGACUCAACAUUCCGAGUCACAUUAUCAACAGCCCUAGUAUUGGGCCCCUAUUUCAAAUGCCCGCAUUUUCCAAGCGGGAACAUUUUUUCCCAGCUAACCUUUUAAAGAAAGCGCAGUGUUUAGAGAUACCCACAUCCCUGAGAGCCAGGCUCGCUGCCGUAUAAGGCUGUGUUUUGCAGCGGGAGCCAGGAGUGCUCCCUCUCUGCCCAGGCCCCUCGCAGCCGCCCCAGAGUGGGCUCCAGCCUGGCUCCAGCUGGGAUCCAGCAGCUGGGUGCAGGCCCCUGCUGGGUAGCACACCUACACAGCCAGCUGGUCCCCCAAAAUUCACCAGUUCAAACCCAGCACUCGCUGCCGCUUGUGCAGCAGUGUUUACUCCUGCAAAGCACAGGGAGGUUGGAGGAUAAAACAGAGACAUAGCAUGUUUCUGAGUGAUACUCCGUCUGGUGCCAAAAGUGCUACCAUAAUGCCACUAUUAAAGCUCCACACCUCGCACUGUCCUGUACUGCUGCUAACAGCCCUCAUACUGAAUGGCUUGGAAGUGAGAGAAGUUUUUAAGUUCUUUUUGCAGAUCGCACAAGCAACUUUAGAAUACCAAAGAAUGUGAUGGAGAAACUGGCCAUUGGAGGAGGUCCGCAAAGAGAGACAUCCACAUUUCUUCCAAAAGCUUUGGAGAUAUAUUGGCAGAAUAUGAUGUUCAAGCUAAACAAACUCACCCCUAGUUCCACUGCUGAUUGUUGAUGGACCUCCAUACAGCGCUCCACAAUAUGAUCCAACUGCAAAUGCAAUAGGGUAAUGUAAGAUCAAGCUAACUGGUUGGCUGGGGCUUUAUAGACUAUGCUGACUUCCUCAAAUAAAAUUUUAACAAACUUUUCCA
rnacentral:lncRNA from 1 species